GUCUUUUUGAUUAUAAUUUAAAGUCUAGCCUGCCCAAUGAGUAGUUAAAUGGCCGCGGUAUUCUGACCGUGCAAAGGUAGCAUAAUCAUUAGUUUCUUAAUUGGAAGCUGGUAUGAACGGCUGGACGAGAAAAUAACUGUCUCGGUUUAAUUUAUAAUAGAAUUUUAUUUAUAAGUAAAAAAGCUUAUAUGGUUUUAAAAGACGAGAAGACCCUAUAGAAUUUUAUAGUGAGUUGUUUUUGUCAUGAUUAGAAUAAUAAGUUUCGGAAGCAGAAAACUAUUUUGUUGGGGCGAUAGAAAAACUUGAUUAACUUUUUUUUAUUUUUUUCAUUGAUUUAUGUGCAAUUGAUCCGUUUUUAACGAUUAAAAGAUUAAAUUACCUUAGGGAUAACAGCGUUAUUUUUUUUUAGAGUUCUUAUCGAAAAAAGAGUUUGCGACCUCGAUGUUGGAUUAAAAUUAACUUUUGGUGUAGGGGCUAAAAGGUUAGGUCUGUUCGACCUUUAAAAUUUUACAUGAUCUGAGU
rnacentral:rRNA from 1 species